UACGUAGGUGGCAAGCGUUAUCCGGAAUUACUGGGCGUAAAGCGCACGCAGGUGGUCAUUUAAGUCUGAUGUGAAAGCUCUUGGCUUAACUGGGAGAGGUCGUUGGAAACUGGAUGACUUGAGGUGAUGAGAGGGGUGUGGAAUUCCCGGUGUAGUGGUGGAAUGCGUAGAGAUCGGGAGGAACACCAGUGGCGAAAGCGGCACCCUGGCAUUGACCUGACGCUCAGGUGCGAAAGCGUGGGGAGCGAAC
rnacentral:rRNA from 1 species